rnacentral:rRNA from 1 species
GACGUAGGAUGCAAGCGUUGUCCGGAUUUAUUGGGCGUAAAGAGUUCGUAGGUGGUUUGUUAAGUCUGAUGUUAAAGACUGAGGCUCAACCUCGGGAGUGCAUUGGAUACUGGCAGACUAGAGUAUGGUAGAGGCAAGCGGAAUUCCCAGUGUAGCGGUGAAAUGCGUAGAUAUUGGGAAGAACACCGGUGGCGUAGGCGGCUUGCUGGGCCAUAACUGACACUGAGGAACGAAAGCCAGGGGAGCGAAUGGGAUUAGAUACCCCAGUAGUCCUGGCUGUAAACGAUGGAUACUAGGCGUAUCGGGUAUCGACCCCUGAUGUGCCGCAGCUAACGCGAUAAGUAUCCCGCCUGAGUAGUACGGCCGCAAGGUUGAA